GAAGUUUUGGACAGGAUUUGUGGUAUGUUUGGACCACUGAGGCAGUCAGCAUCCACGAUAAGACUACGUCGUAGAGUCUAUGCCCCAUGAUAGGGUCCGCAUCAUGAAGGUUAUGCCCCAUGAUCAGGUUCACGAUGCGGUGGUGGUGUAUUUCCAGCUUCAUAAAUUAAAGAGGCCAAGGAGUAAUUCGGUACUUUUACC
rnacentral:lncRNA from 1 species